rnacentral:rRNA from 1 species
GACGAACGCUGGCGGCGUGCUUAACACAUGCAAGUCGAACGAUGAAGCUGGAGCUUGCUCCGGUGGAUUAGUGGCGAACGGGUGAGUAACACGUGAGCAAUCUGCCCUUGACUCUGGGAUAACUGCAGGAAACUGUAGCUAAUACCGGAUAUGAGGCUCGAAGGCAUCUUCGGGUCUGGAAAGAAUUUCGGUCAAGGAUGAGCUCGCGGCCUAUCAGCUUGUUGGUGAGGUAAUGGCUCACCAAGGCGACGACGGGUAGCCGGCCUGAGAGGGUGACCGGCCACACUGGGACUGAGGCACGGCGCAGACUACUACGGGAGGCAGCAGUGGGGAAUAUUGCACAAUGGGCGAAAGCCUGAUGCAGCAACGCCGCGUGAGGGAUGAAGGCCUUCGGGUUGUAAACCUCUUUUAGCAGGGAAGAAGCGAAAGUGACGGUACCUGCAGAAAAAGCACCGGCUAACUACGUGCCAGCCGCCGCCGUAA